GAUGAACGCUGGCGGCGUGCCUAAUACAUGCAAGUCGAGCGAACAGACGAGUAGCUUUCUCCUUCGACGUUAGCGGCGGACGUGUUAGUAACACGUAUGUAACCUACCUAUAAGACUGGGAUAACUUCGUGAAACCGUACCUAAUACCGUAUAAUAUUUCGAACCGCAUGGUUCGAUAGUGAAAUAUGGCUUUGCUAUCACUUAUAGAUGGUCCUGCGCCGUAUUAGCUAGUUGGUAAGGUAACGGCUUACCAAGGCAACGAUACGUAGCAGACCUGAGAGGGUGAUCGGCCACACUGGAACUGAGACACGGUCCAGACUCCUACGGGAGGCAGCAGUAGGGAAUAUUACGCAAUGGGCGAAAGCCUGACGGAGCAAAGCCGCGUGAGUGAUGAAGGUCUUCGGAUCGUAAAACGCUGUUAUUAGGGAAGAAAAAACGUGUAAGUAACUGUGCACGUAAUGACGGUACCUAAUCAGAAAGCAACGGCUAACUACGUG
rnacentral:rRNA from 1 species